GGGUUGUGAGGUUAAGCGACUAAGCGUACACGGUGGAUGCCCUGGCAGUCAGAGGCGAUGAAGGACGUGCUAAUCUGCGAUAAGCGUCGGUAAGGUGAUAUGAACCGUUAUAACCGGCGAUUUCCGAAUGGGGAAACCCAGUGUGAUUCGUCACACUAUCAUUAACUGAAUCCAUAGGUUAAUGAGGCGAACCGGGGGAACUGAAACAUCUAAGUACCCCGAGGAAAAGAAAUCAACCGAGAUUCCCCCAGUAGCGGCGAGCGAACGGGGAGCAGCCCAGAGCCUGAAUCAGUGUGUGUGUUAGUGGAAGCGUCUGGAAAGGCGCGCGAUACAGGGUGACAGCCCCGUACACAAAAAUGCACAUACUGUGAGCUCGAUGAGUAGGGCGGGACACGUGGUAUCCUGUCUGAAUAUGGGGGGACCAUCCUCCAAGGCUAAAUACUCCUGACUGACCGAUAGUGAACCAGUACCGUGAGGGAAAGGCGAAAAGAACCCCGGCGAGGGGAGUGAAAAAGAACCUGAAACCGUGUACGUACAAGCAGUGGGAGCACGCUUAGGCGUGUGACUGCGUACCUUUUGUAUAAUGGGUCAGCGACUUAUAUUCUGUAGCAAGGUUAACCGAAUAGGGGAGCCGAAGGGAAACCGAGUCUUAACUGGGCGUUAAGUUGCAGGGUAUAGACCCGAAACCCGGUGAUCUAGCCAUGGGCAGGUUGAAGGUUGGGUAACACUAACUGGAGGACCGAACCGACUAAUGUUGAAAAAUUAGCGGAUGACUUGUGGCUGGGGGUGAAAGGCCAAUCAAACCGGGAGAUAGCUGGUUCUCCCCGAAAGCUAUUUAGGUAGCGCCUCGUGAAUUCAUCUCCGGGGGUAGAGCACUGUUUCGGCAAGGGGGUCAUCCCGACUUACCAACCCGAUGCAAACUGCGAAUACCGGAGAAUGUUAUCACGGGAGACACACGGCGGGUGCUAACGUCCGUCGUGAAGAGGGAAACAACCCAGACCGCCAGCUAAGGUCCCAAAGUCAUGGUUAAGUGGGAAACGAUGUGGGAAGGCCCAGACAGCCAGGAUGUUGGCUUAGAAGCAGCCAUCAUUUAAAGAAAGCGUAAUAGCUCACUGGUCGAGUCGGCCUGCGCGGAAGAUGUAACGGGGCUAAACCAUGCACCGAAGCUGCGGCAGCGACGCUGAUGCGUUGUUGGGUAGGGGAGCGUUCUGUAAGCCUGCGAAGGUGUGCUGUGAGGCAUGCUGGAGGUAUCAGAAGUGCGAAUGCUGACAUAAGUAACGAUAAAGCGGGUGAAAAGCCCGCUCGCCGGAAGACCAAGGGUUCCUGUCCAACGUUAAUCGGGGCAGGGUGAGUCGACCCCUAAGGCGAGGCCGAAAGGCGUAGUCGAUGGGAAACAGGUUAAUAUUCCUGUACUUGGUGUUACUGCGAAGGGGGGACGGAGAAGGCUAUGUUGGCCGGGCGACGGUUGUCCCGGUUUAAGCGUGUAGGCUGGUUUUCCAGGCAAAUCCGGAAAAUCAAGGCUGAGGCGUGAUGACGAGGCACUACGGUGCUGAAGCAACAAAUGCCCUGCUUCCAGGAAAAGCCUCUAAGCAUCAGGUAACAUCAAAUCGUACCCCAAACCGACACAGGUGGUCAGGUAGAGAAUACCAAGGCGCUUGAGAGAACUCGGGUGAAGGAACUAGGCAAAAUGGUGCCGUAACUUCGGGAGAAGGCACGCUGAUAUGUAGGUGAAGUCCCUCGCGGAUGGAGCUGAAAUCAGUCGAAGAUACCAGCUGGCUGCAACUGUUUAUUAAAAACACAGCACUGUGCAAACACGAAAGUGGACGUAUACGGUGUGACGCCUGCCCGGUGCCGGAAGGUUAAUUGAUGGGGUCAGCGCAAGCGAAGCUCUUGAUCGAAGCCCCGGUAAACGGCGGCCGUAACUAUAACGGUCCUAAGGUAGCGAAAUUCCUUGUCGGGUAAGUUCCGACCUGCACGAAUGGCGUAAUGAUGGCCAGGCUGUCUCCACCCGAGACUCAGUGAAAUUGAACUCGCUGUGAAGAUGCAGUGUACCCGCGGCAAGACGGAAAGACCCCGUGAACCUUUACUAUAGCUUGACACUGAACAUUGAGCCUUGAUGUGUAGGAUAGGUGGGAGGCUUUGAAGUGUGGACGCCAGUCUGCAUGGAGCCGGCCUUGAAAUACCACCCUUUAAUGUUUGAUGUUCUAACGUUGACCCGUAAUCCGGGUUGCGGACAGUGUCUGGUGGGUAGUUUGACUGGGGCGGUCUCCUCCUAAAGAGUAACGGAGGAGCACGAAGGUUGGCUAAUCCUGGUCGGACAUCAGGAGGUUAGUGCAAUGGCAUAAGCCAGCUUGACUGCGAGCGUGACGGCGCGAGCAGGUGCGAAAGCAGGUCAUAGUGAUCCGGUGGUUCUGAAUGGAAGGGCCAUCGCUCAACGGAUAAAAGGUACUCCGGGGAUAACAGGCUGAUACCGCCCAAGAGUUCAUAUCGACGGCGGUGUUUGGCACCUCGAUGUCGGCUCAUCACAUCCUGGGGC
rnacentral:rRNA from 1 species